CUAGCGUUCUGCACUCGGUUACCGAACAGAAAACGUCUUCUCUCAUCAUGCUCUUUUCAAUGUGUAACCGCGUGCAGUACGCGUGAACUCACGGCGCGUGAAGCUUGCAACACACGUGACUCGAGAAACGUACAGCAGUGGGCACUGGCUGCUUGAAACUUGGAGCCACCAUCAAAGAGAAGGAAGAAGAAGCAGCUAUCUCUUUUGCAGUGCCUUGGCUCAUCUUUCGGCGAUUCUAGUGAUCUCUCUGAAAUUGUACAUUCUGUGUCCCCGUCUGAGACUGUAGUGAAUUCUGCUGAAGACUGUGAUAGGCAAGAUAUUUCGGAAGGCGAGCAUGAUAAUCUUGGCAGAAUUGCAGAAGGUGACAGCCAAGAGUUCUUGCCAGAGACUGCAUCAGAAAAUGCUAAAGAAAACCACUGUAGACUAUCGUUUGGCCAGCAAACUGUUUUCAAAUCACCAGACGGUCAAGACAAGACGAAACAAACUAAAAGAAUUUCGAAGACUUGGUCGAAUCCCGAGAAGAAAAACUUGGCAUCAGCUGAAAAGAAAA